AUUGAACGCUGGCGGCAGGCCUAACACAUGCAAGUCGAACGGUAACAGGAAGAAGCUUGCUUCUUUGCUGACGAGUGGCGGACGGGUGAGUAAUGUCUGGGAAACUGCCUGAUGGAGGGGGAUAACUACUGGAAACGGUAGCUAAUACCGCAUAACGUCGCAAGACCAAAAAGGGGGACCUUCGGGCCUCUUGCCAUCGGAUGUGCCCAGAUGGGAUUAGCUAGUAGGUGGGGUAACGGCUCACCUAGGCGACGAUCCCUAGCUGGUCUGAGAGGAUGACCAGCCACACUGGAACUGAGACACGGUCCAGACUCCUACGGGAGGCAGCAGUGGGGAAUAUUGCACAAUGGGCGCAAGCCUGAUGCAGCCAUGCCGCGUGUAUGAAGAAGGCCUUCGGGUUGUAAAGUACUUUCAGCGGGGAGGAAGGGAGUAAAGUUAAUACCUUUGCUUAUUGACGUUACCCGCAGAAGAAGCACCGGCUAACUCCGUG
rnacentral:rRNA from 1 species